UGGCAAUGCGGCAUCGACACGCGCACGCGGUUUUAGAUAGCGCGCGUGCACGAGACUUUUGUAUAUGGACACGCGCCCUGGUUUGUUUUGGUUUUCCCCUUGUUUCAGCAUUGGUUCAUGUUCGAGGAUGUGUCUUGAUUUACUCCAGGUGUCUAUGAUUUAGUAUUGAUUGUGUUAGUCAUUUAAACCCCUCGUGUUGCUGUGCACAUCGUGCAGUAUUAACGGUAGCUGAGUGUUUGCCUGGGUGAAAGUCUGAAUUUCCUCUUCCCAUAUGUGAAAAUGGCUUCUAAUCCAGCAAAUACUUAUGAAAACAGAAAAAGGUCACGGGGAAACCUGGAGCCUAUCCCAGGAAGCAUCGGGCACAAGACGGGGUACACCCUGGACAGGGUGCCAGUCCAUCGCAGGGCACACAAUCACACACAUUCACACACCAAUUCAUACACUACGGACACUUUAGACACGCCAAUCAGCCUACCAUGCAUGUCUUUGGGAGGAAACCGGAG
ensembl:lncRNA